rnacentral:rRNA from 1 species
GACGUAGGGGGCCAGCGUUGUUCGGAAUUACUGGGUGUAAAGGGUUCGUAGGCGGUGCGGCAAGUUGGGAGUGAAAUCUCUGGGCUUAACCCAGAGGCUGCUUCCAAAACUGCUGUGCUUGAGUGUGGGAGAGGCGCGUGGAAUUGCAGGUGUAGCGGUGAAAUGCGUAGAUAUGCGGAGGAACACCGAUGGCGAAGGCAAUCCCCUGGGCCUGCACUGACGCUCAUGCACGAAAGCGUGGGGAGCAAACAGG